GACGAACGCUGGCGGCGUGCCUAAUACAUGCAAGUCGAACGCUUUUUCUUUCACCGGAGCUUGCUCCACCGGAAGAAAAAGAGUGGCGAACGGGUGAGUAACACGUGGGUAACCUGCCCAUCAGAAGGGGAUAACACUUGGAAACAGGUGCUAAUACCGUAUAACAAUCGAAACCGCAUGGUUUUGAUUUGAAAGGCGCUUUCGGGUGUCGUUGAUGGAUGGACCUGCGGUGCAUUAGCUAGUUGGUGAGGUAACGGCUCACCAAGGCCACGAGGCAUAGCCGACCUGAGAGGGUGAUCGGCCACAUUGGGACUGAGACACGGCCCAAACUCCUACGGGAGGCAGCAGUAGGGAAUCUUCGGCAAUGGACGAAAGUCUGACCGAGCAACGCCGCGUGAGUGAAGAAGGUUUUCGGAUCGUAAAACUCUGUUGUUAGAGAAGAACAAGGAUGAGAGUAACUGUUCAUCCCUUGACGGUAUCUAACCAGAAAGCCACGGCUAACUACGUGCCAGCCGCCGCGGUAA
rnacentral:rRNA from 1 species